GGGACAAGAAGGUGUACGCAUACCCAGUAGUGUAACACCUUGUGGUUGCAUAUUUUGUUGAGAAGAUAUUAACGAAAGUUUUUCGUCUUGAUGAGGGCUACAACUUUAACUUAAUAUCCUCUUAACAAAUUAUGUGUAUUUAAUUUUCAAAUUCUGAUUGAGAAAAUGAUACUCUCGAAAUUUUUUGGGAUUUCAUCCUUAUAGUGUCAUUUAGUCUCGUAUAGCACUAUAUAGUGCUGUAUCACUAGGCUUUUAUAAAAUUAAAUAGUGUUGUAUAGCCCUUGUUGUAAGUUGAUUAAUAAGUUCACCUGCUAACAAUAUAUGUAGUUUUUGACAGUUUUUUCUAGAAAAAAAUACAGACAGAUGGAAUAUAUAAUAGUUUUAUGCACUUGCAUUAUUAAUAGUGUUAUGGUACAUAAUAAUGAUGUUGUUAUGAUAUAGAGAAUGUUAUAUUUCCAUUGUUAAUAGUAUAGAAAGCAAGAGAAACCGCAAAAAUGAAUAACAUUUAAAUAAAAAUGAAAAAAAAUGAAAAAAAAAAUGUUAUCGAUUUUUGGAAUUUGACUUGUUUUGUAUUUUAUUAAAAUACUCAGUGGUUGUAAAAAUUUAUUGCCAAUAGUAUUAAGAAUGUUUGGCCCUUGUGCAUGAUAUUUCUAAUUAUCCAUUAUUGAUGGUGUUAUUAACUGCAAGUUAUUCCAGAUUAUUAACGUAGAAGCGACAACACUUGACUUUGUGUGUAAGAAUAUUGCAAAAUGCGCAAAUUAACUUUAGCGACAAUUGCAUAAUAGCCAAAACUGUGUGGAGGUAUUAUAUAUGUAUUGUAACAGAAAUAUGACUUGGAAUAAGCCAUAAUUAGUUAAUAUUUAUUAGCUACUCAAUAGUUUGCAGUGCUGAGAAAAUGACAUGCUUGAUUAAAGAUGUUAAAGUGCUUUAUUAAUUUUAAAAUAUUGUUGUAACGUAAUUGUUAAAAUAAAGUACGCUUGUCAUUGUUUAAAAAUUAUAAUAGCGUGAUGCUACAAUUCUAGUGUUAUUUAGUUUUGAAUUUUAUAAAGAGAUUUUGAAGAACCUAACGGAAAGUUUCGGCUCCGAGGAAGCAUUUUCCGUAAGUUGUAGUUAUAAAAAGAAAGCGGACUAGAGCACUGUUUGUUUCUUCCAGGAAGGUGGCAGCUUUCUGGCAAUAUUGCCCGUAUGUAAGUGUGUAAAUGUUGUAAUAGAAGAUAGCAUUUCCUGCAUGUAAAGUUAUUAGUUGGCAAUUGAUGUGUGAUUUGAUAAUGCAAAUGAAUUUGAGUUGCAUGGUUGUACAUAAGUAGAUUUGAAAUAUAUCUUGAGCAGAUGA
rnacentral:lncRNA from 1 species